rnacentral:lncRNA from 1 species
GAAGAUGUGGCCUCGCCGGCAGUCAGGAAGUUUUAAGAGGCGUCGGAGCCAGAGGGAAAAUGUCACCAGAGAGUUUUUUUAUUAUUAUUUUCAAUUGUAUUUUUUUAUCUACCAUCCUAGUAACAAUUUUGUGCUCAGUCGGUCAGUCCAAGAAAAUUCCACGCACGUAACUCACACCGGCCUUAAAACGGCCCUCCAAACAGGCAAAGUUCAAGCACACCAUUCACAGCAUGAGUUAAAAUAGCACAGACAGCAUGAGUUAUAAACUCAAAAUAGCCUUUCGCAAAAAAAAAAAACUCAAAAUAGUAGCAAACUACCCGUUCAGCACGCAUCAAAAGCAAACGGCGACAAAAAGGGUACAUUUCUGUUCCCGAUGUUUCAUGAAAUCAGUACUUGAGUCAACAGUGUAGCAAACUACCAUAUGCGAAGUUAUUUGUACAGCAAAAAAGGAAACUAUUACAUCGUAUGCUAUCUGAAUAUUCACGAUAUUCACGAAGCGAUGAGGAGUCUGUAGGCAUCGAAAUGUUACCACUAUUUCUAGCACAAACGGCUAUAAGUGAAGGCUAUCUACUGUUCUC